rnacentral:rRNA from 1 species
AGUGAACGCUGGCGGUAGGCCUAACACAUGCAAGUCGAACGGCAGCACAGUAAGAGCUUGCUCUUACGGGUGGCGAGUGGCGGACGGGUGAGGAAUACAUCGGAAUCUGCUUUUUCGUGGGGGAUAACGUAGGGAAACUUACGCUAAUACCGCAUACGACCUACGGGUGAAAGCAGGGGAUCUUCGGACCUUGCGCGAUUGAAUGAGCCGAUGUCGGAUUAGCUAGUUGGCGGGGUAAAGGCCCACCAAGGCGACGAUCCGUAGCUGGUCUGAGAGGAUGAUCAGCCACACUGGAACUGAGACACGGUCCAGACUCCUACGGGAGGCAGCAGUGGGGAAUAUUGGACAAUGGGCGCAAGCCUGAUCCAGCCAUACCGCGUGGGUGAAGAAGGCCUUCGGGUUGUAAAGCCCUUUUGUUGGGAAAGAAAAGCAGCAGGUUAAUACCCCGCUGUCCUGACGGUACCCAAAGAAUAAGCACCGGCUAACUUCGUG